UGAAAAUGGUAACUAAUAAAA
rnacentral:snRNA from 1 species